rnacentral:rRNA from 1 species
UACGGAGGGGGCUAGCGUUGUUCGGAAUUAUUGGGCGUAAAGGGUAGGUAGGUGGUCUUAUUUGUCUGGGGUGAAAGCCUUGAGCUUAACUCGAGAAGUGCCCCAGAAACGGUAAGACUAGAGUCCUGGAGAGGGUCGUGGAAUUCCCGGUGUAGCGGUGAAAUGCGUAGAGAUCGGGAGGAACACCAGAGGCGAAGGCGGCGACCUGGACAGGAACUGACACUCAACUACGAAAGCGUGGGGAGCAAACAGG